rnacentral:ribozyme from 1 species
CAAACCAAAUGUGGAUUGUCGGGACGUGUAACAAUCAAUGCUCUGCUACCACCAUUUUGUUGAAAGAUUCUAGCCAAAUUUUGGAAUAGACGAGACUGGUC